rnacentral:rRNA from 1 species
UACGAAGGGGGCUAGCGUUGUUCGGAAUUACUGGGCGUAAAGCGCGCGCAGGCGGCUAUCCAAGUCAGUGGUGAAAGCCCGGAGCUCAACUCCGGAACUGCCAUUGAAACUGUUUACGCUGGAGUAUGAGAGAGGUGAGUGGAAUCCCAGUGUAGAGGUGAAAUUCGUAGAUAUUGGGAAGAACACCGGUGGCGAAGGCGACAUACUGGAUCAUUACUGACGCUGAGGCUCGAAAGCGUGGGGAGCGAACCGG